AUCUUAAAUUUCCUGGAGGAGGUAAGAAAUGAAUUGGGCUGCCCUAUAAUCUACCAGCAGGACCUACGGGUACUAAGAACAGAGAAACAAUCAAAAAGGGAGAUGCAUUUCUUUCCUGAGAAUUUAGAUCCAUGUUGCAUUAUGACUCCCAAUUUUUUCUCCAUUGAUGAUAUUAUGAAGUGCGAAGAAGCAUGCAAAGAGGGUUAUACAAUUGCCAUAAGAGGCAUGGAGUUUCGCUUUGCAAGAAUUGCAGCUGUGGCAGACACCUUAGCAUCUUUGUUUGGUCAACCAUCAGUAGGUGCAAAUAUGUAUGUGACACCACCUAAUUCUCAGGGAUUGGCUUGUCACUGUGAUGACCACUGUGUGUUUGUGUGCCAACUCUUUGGAAAUAAGCAAUGGACAGUUUUUUCUCAACCAAAUUAUCAGCUGCCUCGCUUGUAUGAUCCUCUUGAUAGUCAACAGUAUUUGGAUGGUGAGAAUUCAUUCUCUGGUUGCAGAAAGUUCUUUCUAAGGGAAGGUGAUGUUUUGUAUGUUCCAAGGGGCUUUGCUCAUGAGGCAUGUACAGAUGAUUCUGUUUCUGGUGAACUUGCAAGAUUUUCCGUACACAUCACAUUUGGAAUUGAGGUGGAACCUCGUUUUGAGUGGGCAGGAUUUGCACAUGUUGCACUUCAACGUUGGAACCAGAACAAAAAAAAGCCUGAUCCUGCUUCGGUUGAGCCAUCGUCUGGACUUUUUAAUGUGAUUACUGUGAAUCUGUUGCAUGCUAUGAUUGAGUUAAUUGGUGCUUCUGAUCCUACCUUCAGGAAGGCUUGCCUGGUUGGUGCACUGUCUUUGCCAUUGGACAGGAGGGAUUGGCUUUAUUGUAACCAGAAAACCAUAUUCAACUAUCUGAUCAAUAAAAUUAACCUGGAAUCGUGGUUCUUGGAAGCCCUCAGGAUGGUGGAAGUAGCAAUUGAAAAGAAAGAUCUUUUUCAGGGGAUGAGGUGGCUUCAUCUUCUUAAUAAUGACAGAGAAACCAUCCAAGGACAUGGUUGGAAUACACCUUUAAUGGAAAUUGAAAAUCUGUUUCCAGCAUACAUUCAGCACCAAGACCUGGCAGAAGCUGCAUUCAUGCAAAUUAAAACCAAGUUCUGUGAUGAGGUAUCAUUUGAGGAUGUGGUCGAUAGCUAUAAAAUGCUAUUUGAGAAGUAUAAGAAGGCAAGAAAGCAAUAUGUGAAUGGAAUGCUUUCACUUCAUUGUAAUUAAUUUUGUUCCCUUAGGUCAUUAUGCUAUAGUUUUCCAAGUUUAGUCUUAUAUGGACAAACAGAUGUUGUUCUGCACAUUGAAUAUGUUUCUAUUUCUCAUGUGAAGCAGCUUAGAUAGAAGAAGCCAGCAUCCUUCUUGGUUUGUGCAUUUGUUGAGCCUUACAUCACAGGCACAUGAUGUACUAACCCUUUGAUAAUGAAACAUAAAUAAAUCAGUUUUGAAUUCUCUCUUUUCUUCUCUAGUUGUUGGUGCAUACGGGUAAAAACCCUACUAGAGAAAACAACAGAAGCAAUGCAAAGGGAAAUGUCUUCAUCCUUGUUAUCAUCAUUUUGAUAGUACACUGUAAACUGAUUUAUUAGAAUUGAAAAACAUGUGUGUUUCAUUCCUUCCAUCUGAAUCUUGGGGGAAAAAAGGCAUUCUAUGGUCUGGGAUGUUUUGGGGUGGGAAUUGGAUGAGUUGUCACACCAUGGUAGUCAAUGUGGUAAACAAGAUCUAAAUCAUUGUUGCUGAGAUGCUGAUGUUCUCUGGCAUGUUCAUGGAUUGUCAUCUGCUUUGCGUCUUCAUCAAGAACCUGCAGUUCACACAUCCAUGCUCAGUAAACUAAAUUGUCCUGAAUUCAUGGCCCUACUAAACUUGAGUGCAUAAUAUUUGGUUAGAGAUGGUGCUUUUAUCCCUCCAGGGGAAGGCACUUUAAUGACGAAAGUUGCACUUGUCAGUGGAGAAUUUAGAGGAUGGUAGGGUUGAGUCUCAAGCGAAUUCCUUUUGACAGAUUCAGAUAAAGAAUUUCUUAGUAAGCAAAAAGAGAUUCAUUCAAACCUCUAGGAAUAUACCUUGUUUUUCUCUUGUCCAUUUAUGUGGAGUGGUAACAUUCUCUGUUCUUUCAUUGAUCUCCUUCCUGUAAGAAAGAUCACAGAAGGAGAAGAAACGGAGAUGUUACAGGAAAAAAAAUACAUAGCAGCUGUAAGGAGAUAGAAGAAAACAAGAAGUGAAAAUUUCAUUGCAACUGUGGCUGAAUCAAGGAUUAGAGUAUCCCU
rnacentral:misc_RNA from 1 species